GGCAGUGGCUCAGUGGUAGAGCACCUACCUUGCACAUGUGAGGCCCUGAGUUCAAUCCUCAGCUCCA
rnacentral:tRNA from 1 species